rnacentral:rRNA from 1 species
CGGUCUCUCACACAUGCACGUCUAACGACAUAGCAGUACUUAGUGGCAGACGGGUGAGUAACAUGUGGGUAUCUACCCUUUGGCCGUGGUAAUACACGAGGAAACUUGUGCUAAUACCGGAUAAGUCUUUACGGAGAAAGCUUUAUGCACCAUUGGAUGAGCCUGCACUUGAUUAGUUUGUUGGUGGGGUAAUGGCCUACCAAGACUGUGAUCAAUAGCUGAUUUGAGAGGAUGAUCAGCCACAUUGGGACUGAGACACGGCCCAAACUCCUACGGGAGGCAGCAGUGGGGAAUCUUGCACAAUGGAGGAAACUCUGAUGCAGCGAUGCCGCGUGAGUGAAGAAGGCCUUUGGGUUGUAAAGCUCUUUCGUCGGGGAAGAAAAUGACUGUACCCGAAUAAGAAGGUCCGGCUAACUUCGUGCCAGCAGCCGCGGUAAUACGAAGGGACCUAGCGUAGUACGGAAUUACUGGGCUUAAAGAGUACGUAGGUGGUUGAAAAAGUUGGUGGUGAAAUCCCAGAGCUUAACUCUGGAACUUGCCAUUACAACUUUUCAGCUAGAGUAUGAUCGAGGAAAGCAGACAUUCUAGCUGUAAGAGGUGAAACUUCGUAGACUCUCCAACCGAAUACCAAUUGCGAAGGCAGCUUCUGGAUAUUAUGACCUGAGUCGACACAUGGUAGCGAGAGAUAGAUCCCCGUAUCAUGCGUA